rnacentral:rRNA from 1 species
GACGAACGCUGGCGGCGUGCUUAACACAUGCAAGUCGAACGGUGACGAAUGGAGCUUGCUCUGUUCUGAUCAGUGGCGAACGGGUGAGUAACACGUGAGUAACCUGCCCCUGACUCUGGAAUAACUUCGGGAAACCGAAGCUAAUACCGGAUAUGACACAGAGCCGCAUGGUUUCUGUGUGGAAAGUUUUUCGGUUGGGAUGGACUCGCGGCCUAUCAGCUUGUUGGUGAGGUAAUGGCUCACCAAGGCGACGACGGGUAGCCGGCCUGAGAGGGCGACCGGCCACACUGGGACUGAGACACGGCCCAGACUCCUACGGGAGGCAGCAGUGGGGAAUAUUGCACAAUGGGCGAAAGCCUGAUGCAGCGACGCCGCGUGAGGGAUGAAGGCCUUCGGGUUGUAAACCUCUUUCAGUAGGGAAGAAGCGCAAGUGACGGUACCUACAGAAGAAGCACCGGCUAACUACGUGCCAGCAGCCGCGGUAAU